UCAUUUUCCCUCUAAAAAACAGAAACCCAAAAUCAUAGUGAACCAUUUUAGGUCUAGCCCCUGCUCUCUCUCUCUUAUUUCCUUCUCUGCUGAGGUGGCAAACGUUUGGUCUCUGAUUCUCUCUCAGAUCUCGCCAUUGCUUCGAUCUCCGCUGAUCUCGUGACUUGAAAGCUUCCUCUUCUCACUAUUUCGUUUUUGUUUUUCUUUAUUUUUCAUCGCCAUCUGGAUUUUUGGGUGGGGGCUCAUGGCAGCACUGGUUUUUCUGGUGUUGGGGACUUCUGAAACGCCAGAGAAGGAAACACAGACAGACAAAGGGUUUUUAGAUUUGUAUGUUUGUUUUUCUAUUCUUGAAAUUUGCAUAUUUGUUUAAUAUUAAUUCUUCUAGAGUAACUAUUUGUUAAUCGAAUUUGCGAGACAAAAACUUUAUUUAAUGAUUUACGAAUUGUUCUUUGUCUUUCGCAUUUGGGACACAAAACUUUGUUCUUGACUAAAGUUUCAAUCGUCAAGAUUGCUCACUUUCCCUUUUCUCUUUCAUAUUUUUGUUGCUUUUAUCCCUUUUUCUUCUUAAUUGUUGUUAGGUCCAUUUGGUAUUGGUGUUUAUGGCAUAGUCAAUAAGAACUUGCAACCAGGUAACUUAACCUUCAAUCUUCUGCAAUUUAAUUGGUGGGUCUCUAUAUUCUUUAUCUGUUUCUGGGAUUGCACCUUAGUAAAAUUUGGAAGCAUUAAGAAGCAUGUGACUUUUUCACUUUAAAGCAUAUGUAUUUAAUUACGAAAUGAUAUGGGUAUUUGUCACUUCAUUAUUUGAAUUGUACUCUUUUGAGCUCCGUUGUGCAAUUUUUUUUUUUUUUUUUUUGAUGAGUGCCUCUUCUUGCAUAUAUGGAAGUUGGUAACUAAUUUGUAAUGAGUCUCUUAUCAUUUGUCCUCUAGAUCAUACAAAAUGUGUAUAUGCAUGUCACCAUGUGAAAUUCACCAAUUAGAGAUUUCUGAUAUUACAAUAUUGUUACUUUGUUAGCAGCUUGCUUUAGAAUUGAUAGUACUAUUACAAUAUUUGUUUAUCAAGGCACUGACUUUGAUAUUUGAGAAAAGUUAAUCAACUUAUAUGUGUCUAUGAAUUUCCAACUUAUGUCUUGUUUUCAAUCUUCCUUUCUCUUUUAAGUCAUUCAAAAAAAUGAGAUUUUGCCCAUUUAGGUUUGAUUUUCCAUUUUUUGGGUUGUUUGGUUUGCCAAUAAAAUUAGGGAAGAUAUGGAAUCAUCGCAAACAAGAUCCAUAUUUAAAAGAUGGUGUAGUGAUGAAUAAAUCGAAUGGUAAGUAGAGAAAAAAAGUGUAGUAAAUUAGUGAUCAAUUUCAAUGCAUAUUGUUGGAAGAAGCAUUGCACGAUAACAAGAUAAAUGUUAUGAGCCAUCUCAUUUUGUAUGUGCAAAACCUUACUGGUUUAAAAUUACAAUGCCCAUAAAAACUGCAGUUUCAACAUUGUAGCAGAUGCCAUCUUAUUGAUAUUUGGCAGCAUAAGUUUUGAAGUGUUUUAAAAUUUUGAGUAUCAGGUUAGCUGGAAUUUAUUAUCUGAGAGCUUAAAAGCUGGCAUGUUAUGCUAUGCAUGUGCUCUUUUAUUAAUUUUUGAUUGCCCAACAACUGCUCAUGCAGCUAAUACUGUCUUGCCUGGUAAAAGUUACACUAAUUAUUUUCACAUGCUGUAUGGAUGUGAAGAUAUCAAGCUGCAUAUUCAAAUGCCUUGAGAAGGUGUAUAUAGAGGAUGGACCAAUGAAGCUAAUGUUGAAAGAGAUAGGCUACCUGUUAUGGUAAUUUUCGAUAAUAUUCAAAAGCUCUUUGGAGUUCUAUACGUUAGAACUCAGUCAAUUUUAACCUCCAUCAUAUUGCAUCAUACAUAUCUCACUUUUAUACAUAGGAUAGCCCACGUUUUUCUUAAAAUUUUAUUUCGGUUAAUUGCCAAGGAGUUAUUACAUUGUAUUGUUGUUUUGAUUUGUUUUUGAGUGAAUAAACACUUGGUUCAUUUAUUCAUUAUUUGUUUACAAUUUUAAUAGGUAGAUUAGCACUUUGUUUUAAUGCAGGAUUUUUGUGGAGUUGAGGUUUGCAUAGGUUACCACUUAGUCAUAAAUGCAGUUUUGUAUUUUAUUUCAUUUGGAGUCUGGUCAUUUUGGUUAAUUCUCAUGUUGACCCAAGAUAUCAUUUGGUUGAUGGUUUUGUAUGUGGUCCUUAUUAAGCUAGUUAAACUAAUUCGUAGACAUGGUUGGGUAUUCUAGGAAAUGAGCUAGUUAAACUAAUACGUAGACUUGCUGUUCCCCAAUAAAAUUUUAAUUUGUAAAAAGAUAUAAAAUACUAGUGAUUGACAACAUGGUGGGAGUUUCAAAUCUUAUUUAAGUGGCCAAUAAAUAGGGUCAAUUGAACUUCAAUGCUAAUAUAUGCAUCCAUAACUUCAUUAUUGAUAAAAUCUUUUGAAUUGUGGUUUGUCUUCUCAAUCUCGUGCUUUUUGGUUACAAAUGUGAGAUUCUAAGAAAAUUUGCAAUUUAAUUUCUAUUUGGUUGCUUUGAAGAUGGAUGAAAGGGGAGAUGAAUUGAAUUUGUGUCUUAUGUUUUAUUUUUCUUUUUGUGGAUGUUUCCUUCAUGGUAUUCAAUCACUCAUAACCAAAUGAAGAAGAUGGCUUAAAAUGUUAGAUUUGUGCUGGUACACACUUUUCAUAUUUGCUCCUGUUUGUAGGUGUUUGAAUUUUGGCAAUGGAAGCACUAACUACUUGCUGAAGGUUAUGUGGCUUGGAUGGUUUUGAUUGUAUUGUACACUUAUUUUUUCCUUUUGUUGUUGGUAACUUAAGUUAAUUUUGAUGUUUUUAGCAUGUUAGAUGCACUUUACCUGGUAAUUUUUUUUGAUAAAUCACCUUCCUGGUAAUUAACAUCCAAAAACUUAGUUGUUCUUAUGAUGAUCCACAACUUAGGAUGUAUACAUUCACACAAUUGAUUUUCAUGGUAACAAGAGAAUUUAUUAUAUUAACAACACUGUGUAGCUUUUAUGAAGAGUGAAUCUAUAUCUAGAAAGCACAGACAUGGCAUUUGGGGGCUUUGCUUUUAUGCAUCCAACAUAUGAGAGAGAACAAGUGCAUGAGCUAAAAUAAAUGAGAAAUGAAGAAAUUUCGGUAGAUUAAAUGAAUUCCUUGGUCAUGCUGAAGUUGAAGUGAGGUCUCUGGCUUCAUUUUUCUCUAGCAUGGUAGAAACGAUGCUGCCUUAGCUCAAUAUUUUGGGGAAGAUCCAGCCGGGUGUCCAGUUUGAGCAAGCUAUUUUUGGUCUUAUAGUUUUGAUUAAUUUGUAUUCCUCUUACAUGUUAAAGAAAAUUAAGUCUACCUGUUCUUUAGUUUUGAUAGUUAUCAUGUAUUACCUUCUUAGUUCUCUUGUUUACCUUUCUGCACUCUUGUAUCGUUCAGCCAUGUUUAGCAUGCUCACUCCUAGAAAAGGAUCCUCCCAUUUUUAUUCUGAAAUGGAUAUAGUCCAUUCUAAGGUGAAGAUUUCGUUUUCACAAAUCUAUUGUUGAAUAUGGUGCCAUAUUAUUUAAAACCAAUUAUCAUUCCGUUUUUGGUGGAAUUGAUUUUGAAUGACGUGGCAUCAUGUUACCUUUAGAUGCAUGAAAAAUUAAAUCUAUACCAUGAAAUGGAUCCUCUCCAUUUCAAAUCAAAUAGAGAGGAUCCUGAUCCCCUACUUGGUCCUAUUGGGCAAUACUUAACCUUCAUGCUUAUUUGUGAAAUUUUUUCUUUGAGUUGAAAGUUGAUGUUUGAAACUGAUUUGCGGUUAUUAGAAGAUGAGCUCAGGUUCUAACUUCUUAAUUAUUGUAUGUGAUUAAGAAAUUAAGAAACGCUAGGGUGAGUACAAAUUGCUGUUACUGCUGGGAUUCUUGUUCAUUUUGUAAUAAAUGGUGAAAUGACUGUUUAUAAGUGUUGUCUACAUGUCUAAUGUGCAUUAAAAUCCCCUUGGUUUUGUGUAAAUGUGUUAAAUCUACCACUAUGACAUUCUGAGUUCUCAGCAUGAAAAUGUUGGAUUAAAUCUUAUUCUGUGAAUUUGGAUUCCAGAGGUAGUUCUUAUGAAUGCUAAUACACAUUUUUGUAAUGGAAUUGGUCUCACAGCAAUUGGAUGAAUAUAGAAAUAAUGGUGCAGUUUCUAAGUUGUCCUUAAUUCUAUCAGGGCAGAUUUGAGUAUACUGGCUUGUAUGGUUUUUAAUAAAUCAUGGCUGUAUUCUUUGACUCUGAAACUGUUAUGGCAAGUACUAGACAUCUAAAGGAGUUAUUCUGUAAAUUGGCAUGAAAAUUGGACAUGGUUUGAUAGCCCAUUUAAAUUUUGUAUGUGAAGUUUAUGCUGCUGGAGUAGGCAGUAAACAGUCAGUGACACACCCAACUUUGGUGAAUGAAUUGAGCUGAAAAGUUGUAUGUUUGAUAUUUGAUAUGUAAUUGUAUGCCUGCUUGUUUGGCUGCCUUUGGGGUAAUUCUAGGGUCUCCUAGGAGCCUAGUUAGGAUAAAGAAUAAGAAUGAAUGAAAAUCUAUGAGAGUUGAUAACCAAGUUGUGAAAGAAUACCCUUAAUGAGUUAGAAUGCAUACCAAGUAAUGAAUUGUCAUCCUUUGAUCUAGAUGCAUGUAUGGAAUAGUAGGGAACUCCUCAAAAUUGCCUGCCUUGAUUUGUCAUUAACUCAUUAUCAGAUUUUGUUCUCUAUUCCAUUUUUUGAGCAAUUAACAGAUUUUGCUUUGCAUGAUAAUUAUUUUAAUAAGGUUUUGAUCUUCUAUUUUUAAUUUUUUUUAUAUAUAGUUGUGUUUCAGAUUUGCCUUAAUCAUUACUAUUAUAUUGAUAUUUAGGAAUAAACAAUUUAUUUUCUGCUUUUGCAGCUAGUAGCAGUUGUUGGUAACCAUGUUAUGCUAGUAUGUGUUGUUUUGUCCAGCUUGAUGUAACUCGCCGUAUAGAGAUGUUGAAGACAUUAUUAGUGUAGAACCAGUAUAGUUGUGAGUUGGAUCGACUGAGGCCUGAUUUAAGCCUGCUGAAGCAAGAGUCCAAAUAUAUGGAGGGAGUUUUAAGAAUUUUAUCCAUGGUCUUUGCUUUGUAAUUACUUUAUCUUUAGUUGGUAGUGAAAACAGGACAUUAAUUUAACAAGCUAUUGAAGGGAUUUUAAGAAUUUUAUCCCUGGUCUUUGCUUUAUAACAAGCUUUGAAUGACUUACAAAAAUCUAUUGCAUGUAUGUAUAGAAGUGAAGAUUGUUCUGAUAGAGAAACGCUCAAUGUGGUACGGUUUAAUAAUUG